CUGCCUAUGAGCAACUAUAGAGACACAUCUGGAUCAGGUGUUAGCUGCUUCAUUGGCGUGUCCGGUUGCUGCUGAGAGAGGUUGGUGAGGUACUCAUCAUUAUUUUGCGACAUAGAAGCCUACAGAAGAAAAAGAAACCAAUUAAGAUUAUCGAUCAUAAUUUUAUAAAAUUUAAUUGUAAUGAAAUUUGAAGUUAAAAUGUUGAAUGGAAUACGUACAUAAAUGUUGUCAGGUACCUAUUUGCCAUAAUUGGUGAUGUAUAUUUAAACUAACCUAAAUAAUAGAUUAAUUUAAACCAAAUUAAACUUGCAAGCGCACGAAUUAAUUGUAGUAAUAUAUGCAAAUACGAGGUCGAUCCCACAUGGAUUGCUUUAAUACCAAUUUAAUCGAUUAAUCAUGCUAGACUUAAUUAAACAAACAAAGGAUAGAUUGAAUUGAAUAAUUGAGUAAUUGAUUAAGACUAAAAUUAACAAGAAAAAGAAAAGAUUAUUAAUUAAAAUAAACACAUGACACAAGAAAACCUAAGGUUAUGAAUUCACCAAUAACAAUCCUAUUUACUUUACUUUUCCUAGAGCCAACUACUAUCCAAUUACCAUGUCAAUGUUAAAGGUUGUUCUUUCUAAGAUAUGAAUUAAUUCAUGGUCAGGCAUCAACUCUUGUAUCUCUACAUGAUAAUUAUAUCAUAUUGGUUAGGCAUACAAUUAAACACAUAAAAACCCAUUAAGCGUAGAAGAAUCAUGCCAACCAAGUAGGACUAGCUAUAGCUUGAUAUUGGUCAUCCUCACUAGUUUGUCUACUAUUCUUAAUCUUAAUUCCACUAAACCUAAUUGAUUGGUCAUCCUCAUAGAUUUAUCUAACUAUCUAGAUGCAAAAUUCCUAAAGGUGAUCAGUCAUUAGAAAUUCGAAUCUAGAAUAAAAUACCCACAAAGAUUAAGAAUAUAGCAUGGCAUAUAAUCAAAUUAACAAAGUACUUCGCAAAUAUUCAUGUCAUGGCUUCAUCAUAAACCUUAGAAAAUAACUUAGUUACACAUAGAAAUAAAAAUAAAAGAAAGAUAGAAUCCGGAAUCCAUGGCAAAGCACGUCCUUAAGCUCUUCUUUACAAAUUGCGGAGAUGGUGAAUGGUAGUAUGGAUGUGGGUGAUAUCCAGGGUAUGUGGGGGUCAUCUAGAGAUAGCUUAGGACACCUAUUUUAUACUAGAUCUGGGAGAAACUCUCCUAAAUAAAACAAACUCCUAAACAAUUAAUAACACAAACUAGGAAAUAAUCCUUCUUGGCUUGGGAAACACGUAUUCUGUCUUGCACGUCAAAUUUGGGGUUGAUUUAUCUUCUUGAAAAUUCUGUAAAAAUAUAGGAAACAUAGCUUGAUCUCUUAUCUUUCCAAGCAUAUAUCACACGCCACUAGAAAAAAUCAGGAAAGCCUUCUUCAUUCUCCCACAGUUGCGCAAUUAUGACGGGAAAACAACUUCUGCAAGAUUGAUUUGUAAAACUAGAAUGAAUGGCUCCAUGGAAAAUUAUGAAAUUUGGACAGAACGAUCUUCAGCCUCUUAGCUUCCUUCUCCAAUUGGCCUUGCAUUAAAACUCCUUUGGAAAGUCGAAUUAUCACAAAAAACGUUCUAAGUGUGCAGAAUGGCUGAAAUUAAGAAAAGGAAAGUAAUAAGGCUCUUUUAUAAUCAAUUCCUUAACAAAAUCUAGGAAUAAUUAAUAUGAAAAUAUGAUAAAUAAUGCACCUAUCAAUUGUCAUGCAUAUCCCCUUAGGCGUCAACUUCCAAAAAAAACGAACGCUUCGCACGCCAUUCUUUGACCCGUAGAUGAGAAGUCGAGCACCAAAGUGAGGGAGGUACUACUUCGCUUCCCAGUUAGCCUUAUUUGUCGUUGAUUUUCAUUGUGAAAAAAAAUUAAAUUAAAUUAAAAAAACUUUGAAUUAAAAAUUGAAAUGAAAUAUAAAAAAACUUACCAAAAAUUUCGGGCUCUGAAAGUGACCGUACGUGAAGUUAGUUCACUUGCCCAUCAUUUAUACUAACUUUGGGAAUAGAUCGAUCAAAGCUUAAGUAGGAGAUGCACAAGUCUCAUUGUCAUAUC
rnacentral:lncRNA from 1 species